rnacentral:rRNA from 1 species
GAUGAACGCUGGCGGCGCGCCUAACACAUGCAAGUCGAACGAUUAAAGCACCUUCGGGUGUGUAUAAAGUGGCGAACGGCUGAGUAACACGUGGGCAACCUGCCCCUUUCAUUGGGAUAGCCACGGGAAACCGUGGAUAAUACCGAAUACUUCGAGACUUCCGCAUGGAAGACUCGAGAAAGCUCCGGCGGAGAGGGAUGGGCCCGCGGCCUGUUAGCUUGUUGGUGGGGUAACGGCCUACCAAGGCAAUGAUGGGUAGCUGGGUUGAGAGACCGACCAGCCAGAUGGGGACUGAGAGACGGCCCAGACUCCUACGGGAGGCAGCAGUGGGGAAUCUUGCACAAUGGGCGAAAGCCUGAUGCAGCGACGCCGCGUGCGGGAUGAAGGCCUUCGGGUUGUAAACCGCUUUCAGCAGGGACGAGGCGAAAGUGACGGUACCUGCAGAAGAAGCCCCGGCUAACUACGUG